rnacentral:rRNA from 1 species
AGAGUUUGAUCAUGGCUCAGAACGAACGCUGGCGGCGUGGAUAAGACAUGCAAGUCGAACGAUGAUUGUGAGGUAGCAAUAUUUCGCAGUCAGAGUGGCGCAAGGGUGCGUAACACGUGAACAAUCUGCCUUAAAGUUGGGGAUAACUCCGAGAAAUCGGAACUAAUACCGAAUGUGGUAAUUGGAAGACAUCUUUUGAUUCCUAAAGUUGGGGACCGCAAGGCCUGACGCUUUUUGAUGAGUUCGCGGCCUAUCAUGGUAGUUGGCGGGGUAACGGCCCACCAAGCCUAAGACGGGUAGCUGGUCUGAGAGGACGACCAGCCACACUGGAACUGAGACACGGUCCAGACACCUACGGGUGGCAGCAGUCGAGAAUUUUUCACAAUGGGCGAAAGCCUGAUGGAGCGACGCCGCGUGGGGGAUGAAUGGCUUCGGCCCGUAAACCCCUGUCAUUCGGGAUCAAUUCCUGCUUUUUAACAGAGAGCAGGUUGAUAGUACCGGAAGAGGAAGGGACGGCUAACUCUGUGCCAGCAGCCGCGGUAAUACAGAGGUCCCAAGCGUUGUUCGGAUUUACUGGGCGUAAAGGGUGCGUAGGCGGUAGGGUAAGUCUGAUGUGAAAUCUCGGAGCUCAACUCCGAAACUGCAUUGGAUACUAUUCUGCUAAAGGUUGGGA